ACAUGAAAGAUGGGACAGAAAUCUGGCCAAAAGUUCAAGACAAGGGAAAUUAAUACUCUAAAGGCAGAGAUGCCAUAUAUUUUCUUCCCACUACAGUGCAGUGUGGGGCAACCUUCAAGUCUAAGAGAAUAGCUUUUCAUUUCCAAAAGAAUGAAUCUGGAAAACUGACCUGGGCAAUUGUUGUCAUCAAAACUCACAUGGCAGGAGUGUUAUCUACAGGGACAUUAGUGGGACAUGUGAAUGAAAGCAAAUGGAGCUAGAGGGUGAACUUAGGUUUUCCCUUGAUUCUAGUACCAAGGGUUGGCUUCAGCAGGUGUGUGCUUUGGAUGGAUCUGUCAGCCUUGCUGAGUAACUGUGACUGUCUGAAAUGAGGUUUCAGUGGGGGGAACUCUACUCACUGCCAAGAGCUUGUUAGAAAUAGACUCUUGGUGGCAAUACUGAAGGGGUGUGAACCAGUAAGUACACAGUGGACAUAUUGUUCACCAUUGCAGGAAUUUGCAAGGCCCCAGGCUGUGCUUCAGGGCAUGAUGGGAGGACUUUGGUUGUUUAUUCUCUGCUUUGUCAGCUCAAAGCUGCCUCCUCGGGGAACAUUUGUGCUUUUUGUUUCCUUUUUUGCUUUUGUUUGCACAGAUCACAGACAGGGAAUUGUUCUAUAAUCACUCGUGCUGGGCACACAGUUCCUGCUCUCAGCUUCUCUGGCUCCCAUCUCUGGGCUGGCAGGUAAGUGACCUGCAGGCAUCCUACUUUGAAACUGCUGACUCUUCCAUUUCCUUCUUCAUGGGCUUCCUUGGCCAAUGGCCAGUUUGAAGAGUGUGCUCUUGAUACCAAUCCUGAGUCAUGUCAGCCCUGCUCCCAGCUAGCUAUUGGUGUGGCUCUGGUCAAUGUCUUAACCUCCCUGUCCUCUUUAGUCUGUUAAAGGCAGACAAUGAAAACACUCCUUGCUCUAUAGUAGAGAUUAAAUGAAGACAGAUGAAAUGCCAAUGGCAUAAAACAAGUUUUAGUAACAUUGGUUUCCUUUUCUUCUUUUACCCUUUUGAGGGUCUCUCCCAACCUGGGAACACCAUUGGAAGACCAUCUCACUUUAGUCUGUAUGAAUAGUGUCACUAAACUGGAGGAGGGAGCUACAUUGGAAAUAGAAAAAAAAAUUAUCACCAUUUUGUGAAUACAUCUGAUACAAACAUAAGAGAUGGGGAGGACUGUCUCCUUUUCAAGCAACCAUUAGUGUGCUUGGUACACAUAGAUAUCAGCAGAUUGUGUUGAUGAAUUCACUAGGACUCACACAACACUACUGUGCCCAGCCCCACCAGUACUCCAACAACCAGAGAAAUUGUCAACCUUUUACAAAGCUCUGUCCCAUAUUUCAUUCAGCUUCCACUGAGGUCUGCAGAGCUACCUUGAAGAGCUUCCUUUGUGGAAGACUUAGGGCUUUCUUUGUUUACAGAAAUACUGAAGCUGGUGGAAAACUUCUCUUCAGGUCACUGAUGAGAGUUUCAGCUUUGAUCACGCAUCAUAAUCAACAGAACAGUUCAAUAAAACAGAAUUCUGGCCUUUUCAGAACUGCUCAUCAGUAGUCCAUGGGGGUGGGGAUGGGGACUGAAGUCUUCAUUUCUAAUGCUUUCAAGUGAAGUUGAAGCUGUUGGUUCCAGACUCACUGAGAACAGGUCUUAUGGAAUAGAUUACAACUUCAUCUGUAUCUCAGGAUCAUUCAGGGGAGCUUUAAAAAUUCAAAGGCCAAUCUUACCCCAGGCCAAUUUGAUCUGAAUCUAUAGGGGUAGGAUCUGAACUCCAUUAUUUUAAAAUCUCCCUAGGAGACUCUUAGACACAGACAUGAUUGAUGAUCAACCUGACAGAGUUUGGAAGAUCUAGCCUCAAAGCCCAGGUGUCACUAUGGGUGGUGAGGGGUGGAUUACAUCCAUGACUUACAAAUAUGUCAUAGAACAUUGAACAUGCUCUAUUUUACUGCUGGAGAAAGGAACAUAUUCUACACAACAUUCCCUGGAAAGAGAGGACAUGGAAAUCUUGCCUCUGAACUUCUCAGGAGCAGUGUUCUUCCCACUCUGACCCUGCCAUAACUAACUUCUCAAAGUCUUCAUCAUCUCCUGAUACACCAUCAAUGAAGAACCAAUCCUGUAGACAGCCUUUGAGAGAUGUUCAAGGUUCAAACCUAGAAUGCUUCACUCUCAGCUUCCUCCUUACCUCCUAAGAGGGGGAGAGCAGCAGGGGACUGAAUUAAUCACCAGUGGUUAAUGAAUUAAUCCAUCACACUUUCACUAAAAAAGUAAUAACUAAUGAUGGAGUUCAAAAAGCUUCUGGGUUGUUGAAUACAUUUGUUUAUGGGCACCUGUCUCCAUGCCUGUUUCUUUCUACCAUGCCUGCAUGCCAUGAUAGACUCUCUAAUCUCUUUUUAAAAUUGAGAUUAUAAUAUGAUUAUGGCAUUUUCCCUUCCUAUUCAUUAUGUCAACUCUCCCUCCUCCAAUACAUCCCUUCUACUCCCCUUCAGAUUCAUAGCCUCUUUUCUUCUAGUUGUUAUUGUACACAUGUACGUAUACACAUAUAUCCAUAAUAUAGUCUGUUAAGUCCCUAUCAUGCUACCUAUAUGUAUGUUUUCAGGGAUGGUCAUUUGGCAUCGGAUGACUAAUUGGUGUGUCCUUCUCAACCCACUGGAAUUUUAAGACAAAAUAAAGUCUUUCUUCAGUAUGUUUGCCCUGGUGUUCUUAUAUAACAACAACAACAAAAAAGAAGUAACUAAUAUAGGGUAUUUUGUCACAGCAACAAGAGACAUAACAAACAGGGUCAUAUUCAUAGGUGCUGGGAACCAGGACUCCAGUAUCUUUUUGAAGAAUAUGAUUCAACCUACAGCGACACUCAUCUCCAUCAGUCAUUGCCAUGGGACAGCAUACAAUGGUAUGAAUAGAGAGCAAAUGCUCUAGUG
rnacentral:sRNA from 1 species